GAUGAACGCUGGCGGCGUGCCUAAUACAUGCAAGUCGAACGCACAGCGAAAGGUGCUUGCACCUUUCAAGUGAGUGGCGAACGGGUGAGUAACACGUGGAUAACCUACCUCAAGGUUGGGGAUAACAUUUGGAAACAGAUGCUAAUACCGAAUAAAACUUCGUAUCGCAUGAUACAAGGUUAAAAGGCGCUACGGCGUCACCUAGAGAUGGAUCCGCGGUGCAUUAGUUAGUUGGUGGGGUAAAGGCCUACCAAGACAAUGAUGCAUAGCCGAGUUGAGAGACUGAUCGGCCACAUUGGGACUGAGACACGGCCCAAACUCCUACGGGAGGCUGCAGUAGGGAAUCUUCCACAAUGGGCGAAAGCCUGAUGGAGCAACGCCGCGUGUGUGAUGAAGGCUUUCGGGUCGUAAAGCACUGUUGUAUGGGAAGAACAGCUAGAGUAGGGAAUGACUUUAGUUUGACGGUACCAUACCAGAAAGGGACGGCUAAAUACGUGCCAGCAGCCGCGGUAAUACGUAUGUCCCGAGCGUUAUCCGGAUUUAUUGGGCGUAAAGCGAGCGCAG
rnacentral:rRNA from 1 species